rnacentral:ncRNA from 1 species
GAGAGCCGUAUGCAUUGAAAGGUGCACGUACGGUUCGGGGGAAGCUCUCUGAUUAUCUCAGAAUAUGAUAGAACUCAUGAAUCAUCUUAAAAUUCUUAAACACUGAAUUCUAUGUAUGAGGUCAUGAUAAAAUCGUAACAAACUAAAAAGACAACUGAGACUUGGUUAGCGAUCCCAC